GGAGCCGGACAGGUUGUCGCUGCGACGUUUGUCGGAGAGGAAAGUCCGGGCUCCGUAGGGCAGGACGCUGGGUAACGCCCAGAGGGGGCGACCCCUGGAGAGUGCCACAGAAAGCAGACCGCCUGUUUCGGCAGGUAAGGGUGAAACGGUGGGGUAAGAGCCCACCAGGUUGCGCGGCGACGCGCAAGGCUAGGUAAACCCCGUCCGGAGCAAGACCAAAUAGGAAGACGCUUGGCCGGCCCGGCCCAAGUCUUCGGGUAGGUUGCUGGAGGCGGCGGGUAACCGCCGUCCUAGAGGAAUGACAGCCGCCCCGCAAGGGGAACAGAACCCGGCUUACAGUCCGGCUCCCUUA
rnacentral:RNase_P_RNA from 1 species